rnacentral:lncRNA from 1 species
GGAGGUGACACCAGUGGAGGUGACACUGGUGGAGGUGACAUCUGUGGAGGUGACAGUGGUGGGGGUUCCCUCAGUAGUAGAGGAGACAAUGGAGGUCCCUGCUGAGGUGGUGGCAGAAGCAGUGGAGGUGACAGCAGUAGAGGUGACACCGGUGGAGGUGACAUCGGUGGAGGUGACGCUGGUGGAGGUGACACUGGUGGAGGUUCCCUCAGUAGUAGAGGAGACAGCGGAGGUCCCUGCUGAGGUGGUGGCAGGCGCAGUGGAGGUGACAUCGGUGGGGGGGACACCAGUGGAGGUGACAUUGCUGGAGGUGACAUCUGUGGAGGUGCCAUCCGUGGUGGUGACACCCGUGGAGGUGACAGCGAUGGAGGUGACAGCAGUGGUGGUUCCCUCAGUAGUAGAGGAGACAGCGGAGGAUCCUCCUGAGGUGGUGGCAGGAGCAGUGGAGGUGACAUCAGUGGGGGUGACACCGGUGGAGGUGACACCAGUGGAGGUGACAUCCGUGGUGGUGCCACCAGUGGAGGAGCCAUCUGUGGAGGUGACACCAGUGGAGGUGACACUGAUGGAGGUGACGUCUGUGGAGGUGACAGUGGUGGGGGUUCCCUCAGUAGUAGAGGAGACAGUGGAGGUCCCUGCUGAGGUGGUGGCAGGAGCAGUGGAGGUGACACUUGUGGAGGUGACAUCGGAGGAGGUACCACCAGUGGAGGUGACACUGGUGGAGGUUCCCUCAGUAGUAGAGGAGACAGUGGAGGUCAUUACUGAGGUGGUGGCAGGAGCAGUGGAGGUGACACCGGUGGGGGUGACACUGGUGGAGGUGACACCAGUGGAGGUGACAGCAGUGGUGGUUCCCUCAGUAGUAGAGGAGACAGUGGAGGUCCCUGCUGAGGUGGUGGCAGGAGCAGUGGAGGUGACAUCAGAGGAGGUGACACCAGUGGUGGUGACACCAGUGGAGGUGACACUGGUGGAGGUUCCGUCAGUAGUAGAGGAGACAGCAGAGGUCUCUGUUGAGGUGGUGGCAGGAGCAGUGGAGGUGACAUCGGUGGGGGUGACACUGAUGGAGGUGACAUCGGUGGUGGUGACACCAGUGGGGGUGACACCAGUGGAGGUGACAACGGCGGAGGAAACAGUAGUGGUGGUUCCCUCAGUAGAAGAGGAGACAGCGGAAGUCCCUCCUGAGCUGGUUGCAGGAGCGGUGGAGGUGACAUCGGAGGAGGUGACACUGAUGGAGGUGACACUGGUGGAGGUGACACCUAUGGAGGUGACAGCGGUGGAGGUGGCACCAGUGGAGGUGACACUGAUGGAGGUGCCACCAGUGGAGGUGACACUGGUGGAGGUUCCCUCAGUAGUAGAGGAGACAGCGGGGUUCUGUCCUGAGAUGGUGGCAGGAGCAGUGGAGGUGACACUGGUGGAGGUGACACUGGUGGAGGUGACAGCGGUGGGGGUGACACCCGUGGAGGUGACAUCUAUGGAGGUGACACUGGUGGAGGUUCCCUCAGUAGUAGAGGAGACAGCGGAGGAUCCUCCUGAGGUGGUGGCAGGAACAGUGGAGGUGACAUCGGAGGAGGUGACACCAGUGGAGGGUCCUAGCAGGGUUGUAGUAGAGGCUGUAGAGGAUGCUGCUGAGGCAGUGGGAGAUGCUGUGGGGGUGACAGCAGUGGAGGUGACAUCAGCGGAGGUGACACUGGUGGAGGUGACAGCAGUGGAGGUGACAUCGGUGGAGGGUCCUUGCAGGGUUGUGGAAGAGGCUGUAGAGGACGCUCCUGAGGCAGUGGGAGAUGAUGUGGGGGUGACACUGGUGGAGGUGACAUCUGUGGUGGUGCCACCAGUGGAGGUGACAGCAGUGGUGGUUCCCUCAGUAGAAGAGGAGACAGCAGAGGAUCCUCCUGAGGUGGUGGCAGGAGCAGUGGAGGUGACAUCAGUGGGGGUGACACUGGUGGAGGUGACAGCAGUUGGGGUUCCCUCAGUAGCAGAAGAGACAGUGGAGGUCCCUGCUGAGGUGGUGGCUGGAGCGGUGGAGGUGACAUCGGUGGAGGUGACACCAGUGGAGGUGACAUCGGUGGUGGUGACACCAGUGGGGGUGACAUUGGUGGAGGUGACAGCGCUGGAGGUGACACUGGUGGAG